GAAAUGCGAUAAGUAAUGUGAAUUGCAGAAUUCAGUGAAUCAUCGAAUCUUUGAACGCACAUUGCGCCCGCCAGUAUUCUGGCGGGCAUGCCUGUUCGAGCGUCAUUUCAACCAUCAAGCCCCGGGCUUGUGUUGGGGACCUGCGGCUGCCGCAGGCCCUGAAAACCAGUGGCGGACUCGCUGUCACACCGAGCGUAGUAGAUUCUCAUCUCGCUCAGGGCGUGCUGCGGGUUCCGGCCGUAAAACAGCCUUAUUUUACCCAAGGUUGACCUCGGAUCAGGUAGGAAGACCCGCUGAACUUAAGC
rnacentral:misc_RNA from 1 species